UCUGGUUCUAGGUCUUUGAGGAAUCACCACACUGUCUUCCACAAUGGUUGUACUAAUUUACAUUUGCUGGUGCUGUUUUCUACAUUGAAUCUGAGGGCUACUGUAUGAUGUGUAAGACACUUUCUGAUUGGAGCCUCACAAUGAUCCUACCAGAGCAUGCAGUCCAUUUGGAAACAUGCAUGUGGGAAAGUGGGGAGGGACCCUGUCAAGCAUCUAAGAGGAGUGGUGGCAUUUGCUGUGUCCACCUCCAUCCUUCCCACUCACUACUCAGCACCUAUAGCCUUGUCGCUCUCCCCAACACUCUGCUGAGACUGUUGUCACCAAAAACACUAUUGUCCGGCUCCCUGUUGAAAGGUAAGAUGGUCUAUCUGAUUCUUCCGCUCUCAGUAUAAUAGGAUGAUCACCAUUUUAUCUGGGAAGCUGUUCCUGACCACCUGCCCUCAGCUCAUCAAGCUUCUGUGAGCCUGCAGGCUCACCCUGGUCAUGCCGCCCAUCUCUCUGAACAAGAUUGUGAACUCUGAACUUUGUGAGGCAAAGACCACAUACACCUCUUUAUUGCAAUGUGCAAGUGUCCUGGAAUAUAGGAGGUCUCCGAGAGCUAUGUGUUGACAUGGAGACCUUAUCCCUUGCACUCAGUUACACUGCUUCCAGUAAAGUAUCAACUUCUAGAUCAGCGCCUUCAGCUCCACUCCCUCCUGCACAGCUCCACAGGUACCUCAGGUCCAAAAUGGAAUUCUUGAUCUUUCACCAACCUGAGUCCUCUGUUCCUGUAAGUGGCAUCCAUUCACCCAGACCAGAGAUAGGGGAGUCACCCAGAAUCCCCCUCUCCCUCAGUCCCUGAGUUUCACUUUCCAACAUAUCUCCCUCCAGGUUCUUUCCAACACAUCUCCCUCCAGGUUCAAGCCUCGAUCUUGCCUGAUGUUUGCAGCUGCCUGCUCCCUUGUUUUUAUUUUUACCCCCAAGUUUUCCUCUACACUGCAGCUAGGGAGACCUUUCCUGCUGGAAUACAGCCAUUCACAUCUGCGAGAGGAAUCUAAACUCAAGGCAGGUGUAGCCUAGUGGCUAUGUGCAUGAGCUUGAAGCCAAAUUUCCCUGAGCAAAUCCCAUCCUGCCAAUUUUAUAUUAGUGGGAUGUACCCCAACGAGGGUAUAUCAGGGACUGAAUAUGCAAAUUAGGGAUAAAAUGAGGCCCAUCUUAUGAGGUUGUGGUGAAGAGUAAAUGGAUGUAAAGAAAGCAUGCAGUAUGCUCAGUGAAUGACAGCCAUCGUGAUUUUCCUUUCCUUGCCUGCAAUAUCUCGAGCAGCCACUAGAUGACUCCACCUCCUUCUCCCUUUCCAGUGCUGCCAACACUACUGCUGGAACUUCUGCCUCCCCUCCCCUCCCUCACCACACAUCUCCAUGCCCGUGUUGUUCAUGUUUUUCCUUCUGCUAGCCUCACCGUCUUCGGGGCGUCUCCCUGACAUCUUUUACUACAUCUCACCCUCAGCUCUUGGAGGACGGGAUGUCCCCACGAAAACUGGCAUAGUGCCUGCAUUGAACAAGUACUCAGUGUUUGCUGAAUGAAUGAAUGUGGGUUAGUCAAUACUAGCUCAGCUGCUUACAUCACUUAGCCUCCCCGGGUCUCAGGAUCUCCUUUUAUCUGUGGUGACCAUCCAAUGUAAAGCCCUAGCAUAAGACCUAGCAUGCUUUAGACCCAUGGUUGCCGUGCACAGCCAGCUGCCUGUCAAUCAUUGCCCAUUCCCAUUGCCCACUAGCCAUUGUCCACUCUAUGUUCACCCCUGUUACCUCACCCAGCUGAGGGUCUUAAACAUAGUUUUACCUCUUCUCAAAGGUCAUUCUUUACUUGGUAGGGUAGGGUCUAGAAAGAGUCUGCAAUUUGGUUAGAGUCUAGAUUUAGUUUGCAACCCAGCUGGGCUGGGUGAGCCCAGGCUUGGCUGAUGGUUCAGCUGAGCCCAGAUGGCUCCCAUCUGCCUGGAAAGCAUAGGCUCAGCCUCCCCCUUCCCUGAACCCCUACCAAGCAUCCUGGCUGGCUGUGCUCCUGGUCCUCUUUUACUCUAGUCCAGUUCCUGUCCUGGCUUGGGCUGGGGGUAAGGGCACUUGUUUCUGGCCACUCCUCAUGGAUCUCUAGUCUCUGCCUCUGUCUUUGCCUGCUUGACCCUGGUCCUUGUGCCACUUACAUCAAUGUCCUGAAGCAAUGACUAUUUUUUAUAGGACCGACUCUCAGGAGAUGAAGAUCCAAUCACUCUAUCAAAGAAUAUGAGCAUUUCCGAGGCUCUUGUAAGACAUCCAGCCUCCAGAACUGUGAGUACUAUGCUGAAGAGAGCCCUCAUCAGCACCUGACCAACCUGACCAUGCUGCACCCUCAUCUUAGACGUUCAGCCUCCAGAACUGUGAAUACUAUGCUGAAGAGAGCCCUCACCAGCACCUGACCAUGCUGCACCCUCAUCUCAGAUGUCCAGCCUCCAGAACUGUGAGUACUACAUUUCUGUUGCUUAUAAGUGAUCCAUUCUGUGGUAUUUUGUGAGAGCAGCCUGAAUGACUACCUUGUGACUGAAGGUAUACUUCAUAAUAGUGUUCGGGGUCACUGGGAAAUGUGUUCAGAAGAUUUCAGAUGUGCAUCAGCAAUGGUCUUCUUCCAUUUGUCCUGGAAAGAGAUGAAAAUCACAUCACAAAAAUGCUCAUCAGUGUCUACUGGCCCUUUUCCUUACAUAUGCCUGAAACUCCAACCUCUAUGGGUGCCUUUUAGUGCUUGUUUGGGCUGUGACAUAGAGAGAAAUUGAACAAAAUAAAUGUACAGUAUAAUUACAACUACUGUAAAGCAAAGCAAUUUGCAAACAUCAAAAGGAAAUCCUGUGUCCAAACUGCCUACGUCCUAUGGACCACACUGUGGGGCUCUGACAGUAUUCUGUGUGACUGCCAGAAGAUAACUUGACCCUCUUUAGCUAAAGGUAACACCAACCAGAGUCUCUAUGAUCUCUCACACACAAUGCUCAGCAUUUAAUAAGAAAUCAGUAGGCAUGAUGACCCAUUCACCAAAAGCCAAAGAAAAACCAAAGCAGACAACAGAAAUAAUCCCAUAGGAGAAACAGAUAUUGAGUAUUC
rnacentral:lncRNA from 1 species